rnacentral:lncRNA from 1 species
AAGGACCGAAGGGUGGGAGUUUCGCCCCCAUGGGCCGCAGGUCCUGAGGAUUAUAUCACACCGUCUUGAUUGCCAUUUUAUUCGUGAGAUCCGAUCAGCCCAGGUGAUCUAUGUAAGAAUUGGACUAAAUGUGGAAAUCCACUUCUGGAAAAUGUCUGACAGCCACUCUUUACCACUGUUGCCUGCAACAGAGCUGGUCACGCAUCGCAAGGGAUUAGGACCAAAAUUGAGGCAUCCAGCACCCCGUGUUUCCCACCUGGGUGGAAAAGCGGAGGGAAGCGCCAGGGCGGAACUGGCUGCUGUGUCUCAAGGACUCUAGGAGAAGCCUCGGUCCCCGGGGCGGCAAAGGGGACCCGAGUGAGGCUUGAGGACUUAGAAAUGACAAUGGCGCCAGGGAGCGUCCCAGAUACCGGCUUCCAAGCGGCUAAAGCGGCUGAGGCGCGAAGAAGAAGCAGCUGCCUCGCUUCAGAUAGACGGGCACUUGCUGUCCCCUGCCGAGCCUGGAACAGGCUGCUCGCUGGGACCACGGCCUCCUACUGCCUCCUCUCACCACCUUCAAGAGACACCAUCUCCUAAAGACUCAAAGGUGAAAAGCAAAACCUGAACGCGGCCAUGAGCCGCAUCCAGGAAAAGAAACACCUGCGACGGCUCUGCGCCUCCCCCCGCCCCAUUGCAUGCCUCCCUCCUGACACCCCUUCAAAGGCACACGGGGACACAGGUCCCCGCAGCCUCGUGGCCACUGCUUCUCAUCACGCUGGCUGCACAUCCCAGCCGCAGGAGCACCAAGUCAGACGGGGAAACAACCGCACGGCCCGGCCCUGCUGCUCAGGACAGGCUCAGCGCUGACAAGACUGGUGGUGGAGAGAAAUUGCCAAGAUGCUAAGAAACUUGAGAGGCCACCUCUGCAGCAGGACUGGGACGGGUGAGGGGAAAAGAACUUACUUUCAUUUUAUACUUUUUCCAUG